rnacentral:snRNA from 1 species
GGAUGUGAGGGUCAUCUAACUGUGACACAGUCACUCCACUGACUUCAAGGGUUAAUUUGUUCCUCCCAAAAAUCAUGCACUUAGUCAAAGAGAAUAACCAUCUCUGAUAGAGGAGGACCAUUUCCUCUGUCAGGGGUAUACAAGCAGCUGUGCCACCCUGCUGACCCUCCAAACAAGCUCUCAAAACCCCCUGUCCCCUUUAGAUGAGCGUAAGAUUUCUGUUUCCUGGCUAGGUAAGAUCAACAUCCCUGCCCCA